rnacentral:rRNA from 1 species
UACGGAGGAUCCAAGCGUUAUCCGGAAUCAUUGGGUUUAAAGGGUCCGUAGGCGGGUUAGUAAGUCAGUGGUGAAAUCCGGCAGCUUAACUGUCGAAUUGCCGUUGAUACUGCUAGUCUUGAAUUAUUGUGAAGUGGUUAGAAUAUGUAGUGUAGCGGUGAAAUGCUUAGAUAUUACAUGGAAUACCAAUUGCGAAGGCAGAUCACUAACAAUAUAUUGACGCUGAUGGACGAAAGCGUGGGGAGCGAAC